CCUACGGGAGGCAGCAGUGGGGAAUAUUGCACAAUGGGGGAAACCCUGAUGCAGCAACGCCGCGUGAGUGAAGAAGGUUUUCGGAUUGUAAAGCUCUGUUAGCAGGGAAGAGGAAGGACGGUACCUGCAGAGGAAGCCACGGCUAACUACGUGCCAGCAGCCGCGGUAAUACGUAGGGGGCGAGCGUUAUCCGGAAUUAUUGGGCGUAAAGGGUGCGUAGAUGGCAUAGUAAGUCUUUGGUAAAAAUGCUGGGCUCAACCCAGUAGGGCAAAAGAUACUGCAAAGCUAGAGUAUGACAGAGGCAAGUGGAACUACAUGUGUAGCGGUGAAAUGCGUACAUAUAUGUAAGAACACCAGUGGCGAAGGCGGCUUGCUGGGUCGAUACUGACAUUGAGGCACGAAAGCGUGGGGAGCAAACAGGAUUAGAUACCCUAGUAGUC
rnacentral:rRNA from 1 species